rfam:Absidia glauca strain CBS 101.48 genome assembly, contig: contig_9126
GCUCGCUUAGCUCAGUUGGUUAGAGCGUGGUGCUAAUAACGCCAAGGUCACAGGUUCGACCCCUGUAGUGAGCA